CCCCUCCCUGCCCAUAUUUAAGGGCUGGGAACAGACAGGGCAGCAUUCUGCUUGGGAACUGCCUCCUUGGGAGCAUUGGGAGCGAGUUCUGCCCUUUGGAAUGGGGUCCGUCAGCAGAAGGAGCAGCAACUGCACCUGGAGACUGCUUCCUUUAGAAUGUGGGGUGAACCUUUGAAACUGGGGCUGUGACUUUUCCUGUUUUCGGGGCAUCCUGACCACAUUGAAGUGCUGGCAGAUGUAAGGGCAAUGUUGAUGUCUGGAGACUGUCUCCUGUGGAGCAGGGUAUCCUGACCACAUUUAAGGGGUGGAAGCCAUAAGGGCAGCAUCUCUACCUGGAGACUGCUUCCUUGGCUGUGUGGGCUGAGUGUUCAUCUUUGGAAUGGGAAAGCCAAGGAUUGUCCUCUUCUGGACUGCUGUACUCAGCAUCACCCCAGCAUGAUGCAGUGAAGCCCCUGGUCUGCUGAAUACUGGGACUGGCCCAGAGAGGCUCUGUGACGGAUGUGGGUUAUCCCAGCUGGAGUACCUGGUACCAUUGGUGGUGAUCUCGUCCAACUGCCACACAACGAACAGGAACAUCCACAGCCAGAUCAGGCUGUCCAGAGGCUGACUCAGCCUCACCUUGGAAGGGACAGGGCAUCCAUCACAUGUCUGGGUAACCUGUUCCGCUGUGUCACCACCAUCACUGUACAAGAUUUUCUUUAUAUGUAGGCUAAAUCUUUCCUUGUUCUUCCCUUCAGGUGUUGAAAGGCUGUUACCAGAUCACCUCGGAGCCUUCACUUCUGCAGGCUGAACAGCUCCAGCUCUCUCUCUCUUUACAGGAAAGGCGUUCCAUCCCUCAGUUCAUAUUUGUGGCUGUUCUCUGGAUGUGCUCCAACAGCUCCACGUCUGUCCUGCGCUGCGGACAUCCACAUCCAGACGCAGCACCUCCAGGUGAGGUCUCACAGUGCAGAGCAGAGGGGCAGGACCGCCUCCCUUCACCUACUGACCGCACAUCUUUGGAUGGAGCCCAGCAUACGGUUGGCUUUCUGGGCCAGGAAGGUACAUCGCUGAGUGCCACUACUCAGCCUGUUGAGGUCUCUCUGGAUGGCGUUGUCCCUCUGGUGUGUCACUGCACCCCACAGCUCAGUGUCAUUAGGGUGCACUCAACCCCACUGUCAGUGUCACUGAUGAAGGGGCGAUCCCAGAUGUUUGUACAAACUCGGCAAAGAACACCUUGAGAGCAGCCCCACAGAGAAGGACUUGUGGAUUGCGGUGGAUGAGCCGGGAUCCAUGAGUGGACAUCAGCCAGC